GGGGCUAUAGCUCAGUGGCAGAGCACUUGCCUAGCAUGUGGGAGGUACUGGGUUCAAUCCUUAGCGCCA
rnacentral:tRNA from 1 species